rnacentral:rRNA from 1 species
GACGAACGCUGGCGGCGUGCCUAAUACAUGCAAGUAGAACGCACAGUUUAUACCGUAGCUUGCUACACCAUAAACUGUGAGUUGCGAACGGGUGAGUAACGCGUAGGUAACCUGCCUGGUAGCGGGGGAUAACUAUUGGAAACGAUAGCUAAUACCGCAUAAUAUUGAUUAUUGCAUGAUAAUUGAUUGAAAGAUGCUAUUGCAUCACUACCAGAUGGACCUGCGUUGUAUUAGCUAGUAGGUGAGGUAACGGCUCACCUAGGCGACGAUACAUAGCCGAACUGAGAGGGUGAUCGGCCACACUGGGACUGAGACACGGCCCAGACUCCUACGGGAGGCAGCAGUAGGGAAUCUUCGGCAAUGGACGAAAGUCUGACCGAGCAACGCCGCGUGAGUGAAGAAGGUUUUCGGAUCGUAAAGCUCUGUUGUAAGAGAAGAACGGGUGUGAGAGUGGAAAGUUCACACUGUGACGGUAUCUUACCAGAAAGAGACGGCUAACUACGUG